UACGUAGGGUGCAAGCGUUGUCCGGAAUUAUUGGGCGUAAAGAGCUCGUAGGCGGUUCGUCACGUCGGCUGUGAAAUCCCGAGGCUCAACCUCGGGUCUGCAGUCGAUACGGGCGGACUGGAGUACUGCAGGGGAGACUGGAAUUCCUGGUGUAGCGGUGGAAUGCGCAGAUAUCAGGAGGAACACCGAUGGCGAAGGCAGAUCUCUGGGCCGUAACUGACGCUGAGGAGCGAAAGCGUGGGGAGCGAACAGG
rnacentral:rRNA from 1 species